AUGGCGAGAUGUCUCCACCCUAAGCAAAGCGCACAUGAAGGCACCCUAGGUUAACCCAAGUGGAAGAAAACAGACUCCGAGAAGAAUCCGGGCAUCCACGCAACAGGAGGGGGCACUGGUGUCGCACCCGCUGAACAAUGAGCCCGUCCCUCCAUCUUGUGGGGGCACUGGUGUCCCACAUGGCAAUGCGGCUGCCAAGCCCGUACAACAGUGGCAGCGCCCGCGCUAGUUGGCCGGUGCUGUCAAUGCUGCCAGCUGCCAUUCCCGAAGCCACAGUGAACGAGCAUGACGACUGGCAUGAUGCCUGAUUCACCUGCCUCACCGCUGCUGGACUGGGGUGGC